rnacentral:rRNA from 1 species
UACGGAGGGGGCAAGCGUUAUUCGGAAUUAUUGGGCGUAAAGAGCUCGUAGGCGGUCUGUCGCGUCGGAUGUGAAAAUCCAGGGCUCAACCCUGGACCUGCAUUCGAUACGGGCAGACUAGAGUUCGGUAGGGGAGACUGGAAUUCCUGGUGUAGCGGUGAAAUGCGCAGAUAUCAGGAGGAACACCGGUGGCGAAGGCGGGUCUCUGGGCCGAAACUGACGCUGAGGAGCGAAAGCGUGGGGAGCGAACAGG